GUGCCCCCGCAGCCCAAUUAGGAACAGAAGGAGGACCUCGUCCGAAUCUGAGCUGAAAUCGAUUACAUCAGAAAUAGGGGAAGGACCUCAUCCUGACACCAAUUAAGGUCUAAUCAUUCAAGACCAGAUAAGAGAAAGGGAACCUCCUCAGUGGCCCCUCCAUGCUCCCACGAUCCCAUUAAGAGCAGAGGAAAAAUCCUUACUCGAGAAAAGAAAAGAAAAAGAGGAGGGGG
rnacentral:lncRNA from 1 species